UUGGAACCGGGAGAGGUAAGAGGUACGUACAGGGUAGGAAGUGAAAUCUUGUAAUCCCUGUGGGACCACCUGUGGCGAAGGCGUCUUACCAGAACGGGUUCGACGGUGAGGGACGAAAGCUGGGGGCACGAACCGGAUUAGAUACCCGGGUAGUCCCAGCCGUAAACGAUGCUCGCUAGGUGUCAGGCAUGGCGCGACCGUGUCUGGUGCCGCAGGGAAGCCGUGAAGCGAGCCACCUGGGAAGUACGGCCGCAAGGCUGAACUUAAAGGAAUUGGCGGGGAGCACAACAACGGGUGGAGCCCUGCGGUUUAAUUGGACUCAACGCCGGACAACUCACCGGGGGCGACAGCAAUAUGUAGGCCAAGCUGAAGACUUUGCCUGAAUCGCUGAGAAGUGGUGCAUGG
rnacentral:rRNA from 1 species